rnacentral:rRNA from 1 species
GAUGACCGAUAGUGAAGCAGUACCGUGAGGGAAAGGUGAAAAGAACCCCGGGAGGGGAGUGAAAUAGAACCUGAAACUGUGUGCUUACAAGCGGUCAGAGCUCUUCGGAGUGAUGGCGUGCCUUUUGGAGAAUGAUCCUGCGAGUUACGUUCAGUGGCGAGGUUAAGUAUAACGGAGCCGAAGGGAAACCGAGUCUGAAUAGGGCGACAUAGUCGCUGGGCGUAGACGCGAAACCUGGUGAUCUAAGCCUGUCCAGGGUGAAGCUGUGGUAAGACACAGUGGAGGCCCGAACUCACCGCCGUUGAAAAGUUGGGAGAUGAGGUAGGUUUAGGGGUGAAAAGCCAAUCGAACUAGGAGAUAGCUCGUUCUCUCCGAAAUGCAUUUAGGUGCAGCCUUGAGUGUUUAAUUAUGGGGGUAGAGCACUGAAUGAACUAGGGGGCAUAUUGCUUACUGAAUUCAAUCAAACUCCGAAUACCAUAAUUCAAAGCUCAGGAGUGAGACUAUGGGAAUUAACUUCCAUUGUCAAAAGGCAAACAACCCAGACCACCAGCUAAGGUCCCUAAUUAUAACUAAGUGGGAAAGGAGGUGGAGAUUCACAAACAACCAGGAGGUUGGCUUAGAAGCAGCCAUACCUUUAAAGAGUGCGUAAUAGCUCACUGGUCGAGAGUCUCUGCGCCGACAAUGUAACGGGGCUAAGUUAUAAACCGAAGCUGUGGAAUUGCGUAAGCAAUUGGUAGGAGAGCGUUCUGUAGGCCGUUGAAGGAGAAGCGUAAGCGACUCUGGAGGUAUCAGAAGUGAGAAUGCAGGAAUAAGUAGCGAGAAAGGGGGCGAGAAUCCCCCUCGCCGGAAGACCAAGGUUUUCAGGGUAAAGCUUGUCUUCCCUGAGUAAGCCGGGACCUAAGCCGAGGCUAAAAUGCGUAGGCGAAUGGAAAACAGAUUAAUAUUUCUGUGCCAGUUAUAUUUUGUGAUGGAGGGACGCAGAAGGGUAUGUGCGCGGGAGAACGGAAGUUCCCGUAAAAGCAUGUAGAGUGGUCUAGUAGGAAAAUCCGCUAGAUUAGACUUAAGGUGUGAUAUAUAGUCGUAAGAUGAAUGCACAAAUCCCACGCUGCCGAGAAAAGCUUCUAACGUUAAGGUAUAACUGCCCGUACCCGAAACCGACACAGGUGGUCAGGAUGAGAAAUCUAAGGCGGACAGGCUAACUCUCGUUAAGGAACUCUGCAAAAUUGCCCCGUAACUUUGGGAGAAGGGGUGCCCCUGAAUGUUAGUAAUUACACAUUAUGAAGCAUUUGGGGGUCGCAGUGAAGAGGCUCAAGCAACUGUUUAACAAAAACACAGGUCUAUGCUAAGCUGUAAGGCGAUGUAUAUGGGCUGACACCUGCCCAGUGCCGGAAGGUUAAGAGGAGGAGUGAGAGCUCCGAAUUGAAGCCCCGGUGAACGGCGGCCGUAACUAUAACGGUCCUAAGGUAGCGAAAUUCCUUGUCGGGUAAGUUCCGACCUGCACGAAUGGUGU